UAGGUUAGAAGUUGAAAAGUAUUAAGUUACGCUGUCCCAACGCGCCAGGCCCUUAAGGGAAGGUGUAAAGAGAUGUGGAGGUGAUAGUCCUACCUAACCUA
rnacentral:ncRNA from 12 species